AUGAACGCUAGCGGCAGGCUUAACACAUGCAAGUCGAGGGGCAACACGGGUAGCAAUACCUGGUGGCGACCGGCGCAAGGGUGCGUAACGCGUGAGCAACAUGCCCUAUACAGGGGGAUAAUCCAGGGAAACUUGGUCUAAUAUCCCAUAGUAUUUAGAGGUGGCAUCACCACUAAAUUAAAGCUUCGGUGGUAUAGGAUUGGCUCGCGUGACAUUAGCUGGAUGGUGGGGUAACGGCUCACCAUGGCGAUGAUGUCUAGGGGUUCUGAAAGGAAGACCCCCCACACUGGGACUGAGACACGGCCCAGACUCCUACGGGAGGCAGCAGUGAGGAAUAUUGGACAAUGGAUGGAAAUCUGAUCCAGCCAUGCCGCGUGCAGGAAGACGGCCCUAUGGGUUGUAAACUGCUUUUAUAUGGGAGCAAUAAGGUUUACGCGUAGACCGAUGAGAGUACCAUAUGAAUAAGCAUCGGCUAACUCCGUG
rnacentral:rRNA from 1 species